GCAAACUUGGUCAUUUAGAGGAAGUAAAAGUCGUAACAAGGUUUCCGUAGGUGAACCUGCGGAAGGAUCAUUAAAAUGGACCUACAGGGGUCUUAAACCCGUGUCACCAACAGUUGCCGUCAUGAAUUGAGCCCGUAUUGUAAAUCGUUAUCGUUUUGCGGGUGUCAUGAUAGUGGGCUGUUGCCGUGUGCCCAUUAACCCAUUGUGAAACUUCUACCUUUGCUUCGGCAGCACUCUCAGCGAAAGCUGGAGGGGUAAGGCUGUCAGAAGCCCAUAUCAAACUAGUUUAUGAAAUGUCAUGCUGUCUGAUAACUACUAUUUGAGAAAUCAAAUUUAUCUUAAAACUUUCAGCAACGGAUCUCUUGGUUCUCGCAUCGAUGAAGAACGCAGC
rnacentral:misc_RNA from 1 species